UGUAAAUAGGCAGCAAAAUGAGUCGUCACAAGAAGGCUGUUCCAAACGUCGACCUAAGGUCAAUAAAGUAGGGACUGCCAUCGAUUAUCCGUGAAAGAUAUCGGGAUGUAAUUGUCGCAAUCGUUUCGUAUGCCUUGCAUCGUUACUAUUUUUGAUGAAGGUCAGUGAAGUACUCGACGAUUUCAACUAUGAUUUUUUGAAAUCGAUGAACCAUCAACGAUCAUACACAACUGUUUUAAGGCCGUUCUUGUCGAUAACAUUGCUAACAUAUCGCUUAUGUUACCUGGUUUCCGCAAAAUUUUCGACGAUGCACUGGCCCACAAAGGAUGGGUUCGGGAAUGGUUUUAAAUAUUUGAGGGAGCAGUAUCGCGACAACGUCAAAACAAACCUGACAACGCAUUGCGAGUCUCCAUUGCGGAAGUUUUUUAAAAUGAGAGCAUUCGAAAUCAACGACUACGCCAUCAAGUACAAUUAUUUCAAAAAUUUGUACGGUUUGAUCGAAUUCGAAUUGCCAUACUACGACGAUGAAGAUAUAAAAAAUGCUAUCAAUUAUACUUAUCGUCGUCGAAACACCGCAAUUGGCGACGUUGAACGUGAUAUGCGAUUGGAUGAACUAUUGGAUGAAUUGCGUUGGUUGGCAAAUAAAAAACUUUAUUGUUGUGCCGUUGUGCACCGACGCAUUGUACUGCAUUCUAGCAAGUGCAAAAUUAACUAAGUUGGAAUUUAUUCUUCGAUGUGGAGAAAAUUCUCAAACUUGUGCACAACAAAAAGGAAUUCGAUUCUCAAAUUUGUUCCGAUGGCGUAUCUGUAUCGUUGAUGUACAAAAAACCGAAAGUAUCACUAGUCGAGAAAACAGAUGACGAAAUCAAGGCACUGUAUGAUAGCAACGAGUUGAAAUAAGCUGUUGGAUGUGAUCCGGGUAUGCAUACGUGGAACGCUUCCGUACGACGAGAUUUGCAUACCAAAGAAGAGGUGAAUUUGCGUAUAUCCAGCAAGCGAUAUCACUGGACAAGCAUAUCGAAUCGGUUCGUGCAAUCGAAAAGACGGCAUGCAAAAUGCUUCUCAAUCAACCAUCAAUUUUCUACAUGGGAGCCAGCGGAUCAACACCAGCCAAUUCGCCGAUUAAGAUCAAGAAACAUGUGCGAUGUCCAGGCACACGGAAGCUGCUUGCAGCCAUUAUAAAACGUGGCAAUUGCAUCAUUCGAAUGGUCGAUGAGUACAUGACAUCACCACAUUGUCUAUUGUGUUUCAAACGAUUUCCACAAGCAACUCGACGUGAUCGAUACAGGACAUGUGUGGGUUGUGUUCCAAAUCCAGUUGUUGGCUUACCAACACUCAUUGUAACCAAUGUGAGCAAACGAUUACUACAAAUGCGACGAACAAUUGAACGAAUGUGGCGCGAGAUACGAGAUAUGGGCGAUGUCAUUGCUGCAACUCUUCGAGAUGGAUCGAAUGCAGGUCGGUUGGUGUCAAAGAAACAACGCUUCUUCAAAGCAAGGCAUCGUGAUAUCGCAGCAGCGAAGCUGAUCCUCUACAACGGUGAAUGCGUGGUGUUCAAGCGGACAAUUCAUCCAAAUGUACGGAGGCCACGCCGUGUUGAAAUCAGCCAUUGCCGUUGUAUCGAGGCCAGAAUCAGAAUGUCAACAAUGGACAUCUGCAGCCAAUUAUCAAAUCAAAUUAUAAUUUAGAAAUUAGUUUAUAACAAUUAUUUUUUAGUCCGCUAGGCUUGAUAAAUUGUGGCCUUGUCGAAGUACGAGUUACCUCUUGGUAUAAAUUGUACUCGUAUUAUGAGAGUAAUGAAUCCACGUUAACGCGACUAUAGUUUCUCUCUUAUGUGUGCCCAAGCCACAAUAUUACUUGUAUACCAAUAUUAUUUAUAUAUCUUUAUAUAUAAAAGGGGUUAUGACCAGUGUUGGGUAAUUGUAAAAUUUUUGGUAUCUAGAUAAGAUGAGAUUUUUUUAGUUUGGCAAAAAAUUUAUCUAGGUGAGAUACCAUAUCUUAUCUUAAAAAAACGCAAAGAUAAGAUAAUAUCUUGGGUGUAUCUUAGAUACUUUCAAGGAUAUUUUUACG